UAUAAGAUUAUUUUUCAGUUUUUUAAUACAUUGUUUUGACUUUUCGUCUUAUUUAAAAUUAUUUUAUGAUUAAUAUUUUUAUUUUUACUAAAUGAUAAAAUAUAAAUAGUAGUUUAUGCGUGACUAAUUAUUUUAAGUUUUUAUAAAUUUUUCAAAUAAGAUAAAUGGUCAAAUGUUGAAUACGGAAAAUAAAAAAUGAAGUUAUU
rnacentral:pre_miRNA from 1 species